rnacentral:tRNA from 1 species
GCUGCUAUGGCUCAGUUGGUAGAGCACAUCCUUGGUAAGGAUGAGGUCAUCAGUUCGAAUCUGAUUAGCAGCUCCA